CGCUUACUGAGAUUGGUUAGUUUUCUUUAAAAAUUAAGGAUUUUUCUAAAAUUUUAUAAUUUGCAACGAGAAAGUCAAGUUUGUACUGUGUACUAAACGAGGAUUACUUAACAUGUCACUUCUACCAGUGGUAUUCGCAAUUUUGGUUUCAAGCUGUUUGGCAGCUACACGUUACACGAGAGAAAUUUUACUAGAGACGGAUUCAAGAUCCAUGAGACGAUUGUCAGAUCCAUUACGAGAUUCUGACCGGGACGAAGAAGCUGUUACAUUUCCCCAGCAUCCAACCUCGACGAACAAUUUGCAAAAUGCCCAUGUUUCGCCAAGCUUGACCCCUAGAUUAAAAACCUCUGUCUACAAAACGAAAAUCGCGGCAGUAUAAUAACAUGCCGUUUAUAAUUUAUGGCGGGUGUUACCCACCCCAAAUUAAUUUUGGUCAGCGUUCCAUCUGGGCAAAUUUCUGCCACGGACAUGUACCUUGCGUCGGAUCAUUGUCAGGAACUAAACCACAACCAGUUCCAAUUCCGGCGAAACCUGGCAAUUUGUUAGGCAAUGUCUUCAAUAAUCAUUGACGACCAAUAAUUAUAUUUAAAAGCCUAAAAUAUAAAAUAUAUAUUUAAAUACUUAUUUAAAAAAAACAAA